rfam:Xanthomonas albilineans GPE PC73 complete genome
AUGUGCCCCUGUAGACUGCGGUUCCUGCGCGCCGUCCGCGCUCUUCCGACAGCGACUCGCAACGUGUUGUUAGCC